AGGACCCUUAAUGAUGCAAGAACCAAAGAAGAAAAGAGAACGCAGGAGGACGAAGACGAAGAGGAAGAAGGGAAGAGAAGAUUCGGAGAAUCUCUUUGGAAAUCACUUGUGUAGGGAAUGGGGAGAGAGAGAGGAAGAGGAUUAGAUAACGAGCAAUUUAGUAAGAGUGGAUUUUUUAAGCUGGAUAAAGAGGAAGAAGCCAAGGGAAGAAGAAAACCGAGAGAGUCGAGAUUUUUC
rnacentral:lncRNA from 1 species